rnacentral:rRNA from 1 species
GGCUCAGGACGACGCUGGCGGCGUGCCUAAUACAUGCAAGUCGAACGGUCUUUCUAUGGAAGCUUGCUUCCACUGAGAAGAUAGUGGCGAACGGGUGAGUAACACGUGGGUAACCUGCCCAUAAGAGGGGGGAUAACAUCCGGAAACGGGUGCUAAUACCGCAUAGUUUUCUUGAUCGCAUGAUUGAGAAAGGAAAGACGGCCUUUGUGCUGUCGCUUAUGGAUGGACCCGCGGCGUAUUAGUUAGUUGGUGAGGUAACGGCUCACCAAGACGAUGAUACGUAGCCGACCUGAGAGGGUGAUCGGCCACAUUGGGACUGAGACACGGCCCAAACUCCUACGGGAGGCAGCAGUAGGGAAUCUUCCGCAAUGGACGAAAGUCUGACGGAGCAACGCCGCGUGAGUGAAAGAAGGUUUUCGGAUCGUAAAACUCUGUUGUCAGAGAAGAACAAGUUGGAGAGUAACUGCUCCAGCCUUGACGGUAUCUGACCAGAAAGCCACGGCUAACUACGUGCCAGCCGCCGC